AUUGAACGCUGGCGGCAUGCCUUACACAUGCAAGUCGAACGGCAGCACGGGAGCAAUCCUGGUGGCGAGUGGCGAACGGGUGAGUAAUAUAUCGGAACGUGCCCGGUCGUGGGGAUAACGUAGCGAAAGCUACGCUAAUACCGCAUACGAUCUACGGAUGAAAGCGGGGGAUCGCAAGACCUCGCGCGAUUGGAGCGGCCGAUAUCAGAUUAGGUAGUUGGUGAGGUAAAGGCUCACCAAGCCGACGAUCUGUAGCUGGUCUGAGAGGACGACCAGCCACACUGGGACUGAGACACGGCCCAGACUCCUACGGGAGGCAGCAGUGGGGAAUUUUGGACAAUGGGCGCAAGCCUGAUCCAGCAAUGCCGCGUGCAGGAUGAAGGCCUC
rnacentral:rRNA from 1 species